UACGUAGGGGGCAAGCGUUGUCCGGAUUUACUGGGCGUAAAGAGCUCGUAGGCGGCUUGUCGCGUCGGCUGUGAAAUCCCGUGGCUCAACUGCGGGUCUGCAGCCGAUACGGGCAGGCUAGAGUUCGGUAGGGGAGACUGGAAUUCCUGGUGUAGCGGUGAAAUGCGCAGAUAUCAGGAGGAACACCGAUGGCGAAGGCAGGUCUCUGGGCCGAUACUGACGCUGAGGAGCGAAAGCGUGGGGAGCGAACAGG
rnacentral:rRNA from 1 species